CUGAAAUUUUCAACAAAUUACCUUUACAUUAUCUAGUUUAUAACUAUUAUAGCAAGAACUGUCGGCUCCUUAUCCAAUUUCCCAUAAUGUAUCUCUAAAAGAAAUAUAUUAUUGAACACAAAUAGUUGACAUAAGCUACAGAAUAUGUAUAAUUUCUGUGUAUGAUUAACAAAACUAAUAUUUUACUAAGAUUCAUCUAAGGCUGUCCAUUUAUUGGAGAACCAGUUAUAUUUACUCUGACGUGGAUAUAUUGCUGAAGUCUUGGUCUCAUGGAAGUGCCGGAACAAUAUCCGUUUGAUGAAGAGAAGUUAAUGACAGGAAAGACACGAUGCUACGGUGCCACCCUGCAAACUCCUCAAAACAAGAUUGUACAGGAUCUAACACCAACAGCGGUCAACAUUCAACCGAGCGAUAAUUUGUGUGUCGCAAUUUUAACUACAUUAUUUUGCUUUUUUCCUUUUGGUUUUUUGUCACUUUAUUAUUCUUGUAAGACCAGAAGUUACUACAGACAAGGGAAGUUGAGAAGAUCUAUUAAUGCCGCAAAACAUUCCCAAACCAUGGCUCAGUUCGCGUGCCUUGUUGGCUUAAUGGGUUGGUUUAGUGGUGUUAUCACACUUCUAAUAUAUAUAAAUCAUUUACUUUAAAAAGUGAAACAGGAAAUAUGCCGAUAAGAAUCUCUAUGAAAACUUAAAGAGUAGAAUGUUUACGAAAUAUAUUUUUAUAAACUUAAAAUAACAGAAUGUCAGUGCACUUGACAGAUAUUAACCCUCGACAGGAUGAAAAUGCGAAGGUGGUAAUCUUGAAUGCUGCAUCUUGUAAUAAUAUGCGUGUGUACGUGUGUACGUGUACCUGCGUACGUGUACCAGUGACUAUAAGUAUUAAGUCGCAAAUGUUGAUCGUUGUAUACCAUUUGUAAUCGAUGUGAUGGUGACAGUAGUAGUAUAGUGACUUCAAAUAUUUAUGUCUUAAAAUCUGUAAACUUUGUGGGCAAUGGUUAUUGUUCUUUAACUCUAGUUGAUUCUGGGCUGGAUAUGUGAACUUAACAUUGGCCGACUGUUUCUACUCUCGGUCCGAAUGCGUGAUCUUAACAUUCAUUGGGCAACUGGCUCCCGCCACGGUGAACUACCCUUCACUUUUCAAUGUAUAAGGGGGGUUUUACGUUCACUUCCAGUAAUAAAUAACUAUGAGAAAAUGGAUAUUUUAAGAGUAUAUUUGAUGAAGCUUUUAUUUAUUAUAUUAAUUAUAUUAAAGAACAUUAUGGGAGAUUAGAUAAAGAGCUGCAAGCAGUUCUCACUAUAAUAGUUAAAGGAGCUAAGUCAAAUAUUUGGGACCGAGAAAUUGACACAAAUGGGUCGCA